rnacentral:lncRNA from 1 species
CUCCUCCACCUUUUUUCUCUUUUCCUUUUUGUCUUGUUCUGAUGCCCAUGGGAGGAGGGAAUGAGUGGGAAAGAGGCAUUAAUGCCUUUUGUCAAAUCCAAGUGACCCAGGGCCUCCCACAUCUUCGGCUAAUGUAGAAAUACCCCCAACACUAGAAAUCUGUUGCAAACAUUGGAGCUCAGGUGGCCAGAGCCAAAGGGGAGGCCAGCGCCACGAAUAGGGUGCUCAGAUCUCGCUUGGGGGUGAGCUUCUCAGCUCCAUCGAUCUAAGCACAGGGAGGUUCGGCUGUGGUAAGCAUGUAGGGCCAUUGGAGCCAUUGACCUUGGUGCUGUCGAAUGGCCUGAGUGUUGGAGGAGAUGAAGUGUGAACAAGAAAAUACUUCGGAUGACUUCGGGCUUGGUAAACUUGGAUUCGGGUGAGAUCGGCACCGUUAGUCGAGAGGAGCUUGCUUCGGUCAGGCUUGAUCGGAGUUGCUUCGAUCGAGCGUGCAAAGGUGUAGGGAUUCGCUGGUAGCCUCGGCAUCGAGAGGAUGCGCACGCAGAGGACAUGGUGCCGCCCGAAGUGGGCGCGUGCGGAGGAG